GUCCAACUCACACAGGACAUACCCGCACGAGGGCGUUUCAGAUGAGUCGGGUAGCUUGGGAAUGCUGCUCUAAUCGGUGGUAAAUCUCAUCGAAGGCUAAAUAGCGGCUGGAGACCGAUAGCGAACAAGUACCGUGAGGGAAAGAUGACAAGCACUUUGAAAAGAGGGUGAAAAGAGCCUGAAACCGUCACGGGGGAAGCGGAUUGCGUUGGAUUGAUGGGCGCUUGUGUGUUCAGCCUUCGGGUGCAUUGGCACAAGUGCUUAUCCGCUGUGAGUUUUCGGGGGUCGAUUUUGGACCCCUGGGGACUGAGGGCUCCCUUUUUUAGGUGAGGACAGCGGAGUGACGACGCGAUACGACCCGUCUUGAAACACGGACCAAGGAGUCUAGCGCGGGUGCGAGUCGGAGGGUGCAAGCCCGUGGGCGAAGUGAAAGCGAGUUUUAAAAACGAGCAGUUUGGGGCGGCAUAAGAUCGUUGAUCUUAAGACCGACCCGGAGCAGUUGCGCUGGGACCCGAAAGAUGGUGAACUAUGCCGGAGUAGGGCAAAGCCAGAGGAAACUCUGGUGGAGGCUCGUAGCGGUGCUGACGUGCAAAUCGCUCGUCGAACUUGGGUAUAGGGGCGAAAGACUAAUCGAACCAUCUAGUAGCUGGUUCCCUCCGAAGUUUCUCUCAGGAUAGCGGGCCGACAAGUUGUUUUGUGCGGUAAAGCGAAUGAUUAGCGCAUUCGGGGGCGUUUAGCCUUUGGGCGAUUCUCAAACUUUCAAUGCGCAAGGGUGCCGCUGCUUAAUUGAGCGGUACCGGUAAAAACGUCGGCCCUGUGGGCCACUUUUGGUAAGCAG
rnacentral:rRNA from 1 species